rnacentral:tRNA from 2 species
GGGCAGAUGUCCGAGCGGUUGAAGGAGCACGCCUGGAACGCGUGUAAGGUGCAAGCCUUCGGGGGUUCAAAUCCCUCUCUGUCCGCCA